UACGGGGGAUGCAAGCGUUAUCCGGAUUUAUUGGGUUUAGAGGGUGCGUAGGCUGUGAGGUAAGUCAGCGGUGAAAUGCCCCCGCUCAACGGGGUGAAGUGCCAUUGAUACUGCCUUGCUGGAAUGCGGAUGCCGUGGGAGGAAUGUGUGGUGUAGCGGUGAAAUGCAUAGAUAUCACACAGAACACCGAUUGCGAAGGCAUCUCACGAAUCCGCGAUUGACGCUGAAGCACGAAAGCGUGGGUAUCAAACAGG
rnacentral:rRNA from 1 species